GACGAACGCUGGCGGCGUGCCUAAUACAUGCAAGUCGAGCGAGACUCUUCGGAGUCUAGCGGCGGACGGGUGAGUAACACGUGGGCAACCUGCCUGUAAGACUGGGAUAACACCGGGAAACCGGUGCUAAUACCGGAUAAUCCUUUUCCUCUCAUGGGGAAAAGCUGAAAGUCGGUUUCGGCUGACACUUACAGAUGGGCCCGCGGCGCAUUAGCUAGUUGGUGAGGUAACGGCUCACCAAGGCGACGAUGCGUAGCGGACCUGAGAGGGUGAUCGGCCACACUGGGACUGAGACACGGCCCAGACUCCUACGGGAGGCAGCAGUAGGGAAUCUUCCACAAUGGACGAAAGUCUGAUGGAGCAACGCCGCGUGAGCGAUGAAGGCCUUCGGGUCGUAAAGCUCUGUUGUUAGGGAAGAACAAGUACCGGAGUAACUGCCGGUACCUUGACGGUACCUAACCAGAAAGCCACGGCUAACUACGUGCCAGCCGCCGCAGUAA
rnacentral:rRNA from 1 species